rnacentral:rRNA from 1 species
AUUGAACGCUGGCGGCAGGCCUAACACAUGCAAGUCGGACGGUAGCACAGAGAGCUUGCUCUCGGGUGACGAGUGGCGGACGGGUGAGUAAUGUCUGGGAAACUGCCCGAUGGAGGGGGAUAACUACUGGAAACGGUAGCUAAUACCGCAUAACGUCUUCGGACCAAAGUGGGGGACCUUCGGGCCUCACACCAUCGGAUGUGCCCAGAUGGGAUUAGCUAUUAGGUGGGGUAAUGGCUCACCUAGGCGACGAUCCCUAGCUGGUCUGAGAGGAUGACCAGCCACACUGGAACUGAGACACGGUCCAGACUCCUACGGGAGGCAGCAGUGGGGAAUAUUGCACAAUGGGCGCAAGCCUGAUGCAGCCAUGCCGCGUGUAUGAAGAAGGCCUUCGGGUUGUAAAGUACUUUCAGCGGGGAGGAAGGCGAUGAGGUUAAUAACCGCAUCGAUUGACGUUACCCGCAGAAGAAGCACCGGCUAACUCCGUGCCAGCAGCCGCCGUAA